rnacentral:misc_RNA from 1 species
AAGUCGUAACAAGGUUUCCGUAGGUGAACCUGCGGAAGGAUCAUUAAUGAGAGACAACGAAGGGGGGGAAGGGGGGCGGACGCCAUGUCUCUUGUGGGGGGGCUGUCGCUGGCGCGCCUCGCGCGCGCAUGUGCACGUCCUCGAAAGCGACAUUCCGUUCACCUCUUCUCUCUCCACACACCCACACCCCCCACCUGUGCACGACCGCGAGGCUUUGCUGCCGUCGAUCUCACGAUUGACAUGCAUCGCCUCGCCCUUUCUUUAUACACACCUUAUAAAAGUACACAUAAGAACGAUGUUUUGCGUGUGACUGUUCUCACACGAAACAAAUACAACUUUCAGCAACGGAUCUCUUGGCUCUC